GCGCGUUCCUUGUCUCUCUCCUUUUCCUGCUCCAUGUUGGUGGCCGACAUUGUUGUAAGUCUGGUAACUACAAUCCACCGGCAUCUGCAAACAUGUUGGGACAUUAUCUGUCGGUCUCCACGGGAGCAGAGAAUGCAGAUACUGUUGAUAUCUGUAUUUCAACUUUAUUCCAGAUACAGCCGACGGAAUUCGAGAAACAGGUGCCGUUUUCAUUUUCCACAUACGUGGUAGUGUUGGAAGGGGUUCCAUAAACCAUCGGUUGGUGUAGUGCGAGUUAUUUCUAACGGAAUUGCCUCAGAAAGCAAGUCUUCAGACACAGCUUGAAGUUUCGAACAGUCCGGGAGUUCGAGAAAGAUCAUCGAGUUCUCUUUCUGUUUACGAACACGUGCUAUUCUUAUCUGCCUUAAAGUUUUCAUCCCGGCGGUUUACAGUCUGUUCUGAAGCUUGGUUCAAAUUCAGAAAUAUGAUCAAGUUGCAUCUUAAUGUGAAAUAGUAGUUGAAGAGGGAAGCCAGCUCUAUCUGUACAGUUAUCCAUCCAGUACUGUUGGUUGAACAUGAAGGCUUGCCCCUUCCCCUGUACAAGGGCAAAGGGGAUGCAUCUAAUUGGCGAGCACUAAUGAUUUGGCCUCUGCAGCCUUCUCUGACAGUGAGUUCUGCAGAUUCACCACACUCUGGCUGAAGAAAUUCUCCUCAUCUCAGUUCCAAAGGGGUGUCAAAAGGUAUCUUAGUUGACAUUACCAAGGGAGUUCAAUAUCUGGUUGAAGGACUGUGUUUUCAGGUUUCCAGUGGCGUUCAAAGAACACUGCCAAAAAGGCUGUGGAUGCCAAAUCAAGCUCACUUAGCGUGUUGCUCAAUUGCAGUACAGCACAGGAUUUUGAGCAAGGCUGACUUGAAGUCCAACACUAUUGGACAGGCUUUUCUUCAGCGUCUCUGAGCAUUGGCAGACCCUACCUGGAGACUCCAUUGGAACGGCCUCAGUUCAGCCAGAUCGUUACAGAGACCUACAAGUGCAUGAAAGAGUCUUGGAAAACUCAACAUGAAAAAAUGAUUUUACACUUUGUGUAUUGUACAUGGUUUGUCUAUCUUAAAGUUCUGCUCUUGGUGUAGAAUGCUAAGAUAAAAAGGUAAACAAUCAAAAGCAGAAAAUUGAAACCUGUUAAAGUUGGCUGUUGUGUAUUAUUAAUUUAUGUUCUUAAAAAAAUACACACAACUGUGGAAAUUGGAAAUCAGAAACCCUGAGUGUCAAAGAAACACAGCAGUUUUAGCAGCAUCUGUUGAGAGAAAAAGAAUUGAUGUUUCAAUGUUAUAACAAAGUGUCACUGGACUUGACACUAAUUUGAUUUUCUCUCAACAGACCUAUGUUUCUCUCUAAAUCAUGUUCUCCUUUGUUUGCAUUGGUAUUCUUAUCAUUCUCUUGUAUGUCAGUAGUUACAAAAUAAAGUUCCUUGAAAACUGGU